GGAAACUGUGGGAAGUAAGCCAGCAGGCAGAGCAGCAGAAACACCCAAAGACUCAACAGCAGGACGCAGAACAGGAAAAGGAUGCGCAGUGGGGCUCCAGAGGGUCCACCCAGGUUCAGAGAAAGUGAGUCCUCUUUGCAAAGAUACUAUAAUGGGAAACCCAUAGGCUCAGGAGGGGCCCGAACAAAAGCAAUGAUGACAGCAACAAAUGAAAAUGACGUCGAAAUGAUGCGUUGCCAAGAAGUCCAGCUGCCAGAUUCAGCUGUUGGUGUUGCCUGUCUCUGUCAAUCACCGAGUCCCUUUUUGGUCUCCACUGUCUGCACAAACUACAUUAUCUUUUCUGUCUUUGACGAACACCAGUCUGCUCUCUCUCUCUCUCCUUGUUGUCUUUAAUUAGCUCCAUAUUAAGAUAGGCUAAAUAUAGUGUCUUUUGUAUGUGCCAUAUGAGCAUGUAAUGUGAUGUAUUCCUGUAAAUAACUGUCCCUGUCCUAUUGUUCUCAUUCUUAAAUAAAUAAAAAAAACCCUAAAAGA